rnacentral:rRNA from 1 species
UACAGAGGGGGCAAGCGUUAUUCGGAAUUAUUGGGCGUAAAGGGCGCGUAGGCGGCCAUUCAAGUGACGGGUGAAAACCCUCGGCUUAACCGAGGAACUGCCUGUCAGACUGGAUGGCUCGAGACCGGGAGAGGUGAGUGGAAUUCCCAGUGUAGCGGUGAAAUGCGUAGAUAUUGGGAGGAACACCAGUGGCGAAGGCGGCUCACUGGACCGGAACUGACGCUGAGGCGCGAAAGCGUGGGGAGCAAACAGG